rnacentral:rRNA from 1 species
UACAGAGGGUGCAAGCGUUAAUCGGAAUUACUGGGCGUAAAGCGUGCGUAGACGGUUGCGUAAGUCAGAUGUGAAAGCCCCGGGCUCAACCUGGGAAUUGCAUUUGAGACUGCGUAGCUAGGGUGCGGAAGAGGGAAGCGGAAUUUCCGGUGUAGCGGUGAAAUGCGUAGAUAUCGGAAGGAACACCAGUGGCGAAAGCGGCUUCCUGGUCCAGCAUCGACGUUCAGGCACGAAAGCGUGGGGAGCAAACAGG